AACGAACGCUGGCGGCAUGCCUAACACAUGCAAGUCGAACGAGACCUUCGGGUUUAGUGGCGCACGGGUGCGUAACGCGUGGGAAUCUGCCCUUGGGUUCGGAAUAACAGUUGGAAACGACUGCUAAUACCGGAUGUUGUCGUAAGUCCAAAGAUUUAUCGCCCAAGGAUGAGCCCGCGUAGGAUUAGCUAGUUGGUGAGGUAAAGGCUCACCAAGGCGACGAUCCUUAGCUGGUCUGAGAGGAUGAUCAGCCACACUGGGACUGAGACACGGCCCAGACUCCUACGGGAGGCAGCAGUGGGGAAUAUUGGACAAUGGGCGAAAGCCUGAUGCAGCAAUGCCGCGUGAGUGAUGAAGGUCUUAGGGUUGUAAAGUUCUUUUACCCGGGAUGAUAAUGACAGUACCGGGAGAAUAAGCUCCGGCUAACUCCGUG
rnacentral:rRNA from 1 species